ACCUGAGUGGCUGAGUUGGUUAAGCGUCUGCCUUUGGCUCAGGUCAUGAUCCCAGGGUCCUGGGAUCGAGUCCCAUCUUGGGUU
rnacentral:tRNA from 1 species